rnacentral:rRNA from 1 species
GACGAACGCUGGCGGCGUGCUUAACACAUGCAAGUCGAACGGAAAGGCGCGGCUUUUGUGGGGCUGUCGUGUGGGGCAGGGGUGUGUAACACGCGAGUAACAUGUCCUUGAAUUUGUGAUAACUCCAGGAAACUGGGGCUAAUACCGGAUAGGAGAUACUGCUGCAUGGUGGGGGUUGGAAAGUUUCGGCGGUGGGGGAUGGUCUCGCGGCUUAUCAGCUUGUUGGUGGGGUAGUGGCUUACGAAGGCUUUGACGGGUAGCCGACCUGAGAGGGUGAACGGCCACAUGGGUACUGAGGUACGGAGCAGACUGCUACGUGAGGCAACAGUGGGGAACUUUGCGCAGUGGGCGGGAGCCAGAGGUAGCGACGCCGCGUGCGGGAUGACGGCCUAUGGGUUAUAAACCGCUGUCGCCAGUGACGAGGCCGGAUUGACGGUAAUGAGUAAAGAAGCACCGGCUAACUACGUG